CGCCUCUUGCAAACAAAACAUAAGAGGUCCCGCCUGCCCUGUGACUAUACGUUUAACGGCCGCGGUAUUUUGACCGUGCGAAGGUAGCGCAAUCACUUGUCUUUUAAAUGGAGACCUGUAUGAAUGGCACAACGAGGGCUUAACUGUCUCCUUUUUCAGGUCAAUGAAAUUGAUCUUCCCGUGCAGAAGCGGGAAUACCACCAUAAGACGAGAAGACCCUAUGGAGCUUUAGACACCAGAGCAGACCAUGCACUUUCCCCCACAAAGAACGAAAAGAGCUAGAUGACCCCUGCCCUAAUGUCUUCGGUUGGGGCGACCACGGGGAAGGAAAAAACCCCCGCACGGACCAGGUAGACACUACCUAAAAACAAGAGCCACAGCUCUAAUUGACAGAACUUCUGGCCAACAGAUCCGGCAACGCCGAUUAAUGGACCAAGUUACCCUAGGGAUAACAGCGCAAUCCCCUUUUAGAGCCCAUAUCGACAAGGGGGUUUACGACCUCGAUGUUGGAUCAGGACAUCCUAAUGGUGCAGCCGCUAUUAAGGGUUCGUUUGUUCAACGAUUAAAGUCCU
rnacentral:rRNA from 1 species